rnacentral:tRNA from 1 species
GGUAGCUUGGCCGAGGGGUCUAAGGCACUGUAUUUGGGCUCCAGUCUCUUCAGGUGUGUGGGUUAGAAUCCUACCGCUGCCA